ACAAGCCCGCCGGAAACGAAAAGCUGCUUGUCCUGAUAUUACUUUGUAACGGAAUAAGCCCGUUAGGAAUAAACAGUAAUCAGUGAAGUUAGUCUUUCAAUUAUUAAAUCUGUCCUCGAAGACUUUAGGCUGCUAAGGCCGUUAGUCACGCCAGACUGAAUAAAUGCUUCCAGGUAGCUCAUAGAUGAAAACUCCAGUUCCCGACAUGCUCCAUUCUAGUCGCGGCGCCGGAACGUGGCCGCGCUGCAUGCUGGGGACGUAUUCUCGCGGGAUCGACUCACAGGCGUCGGGAGAUGAGGUUUCAGUACCCUUUAUCCUCCCAUAGUUAUGAAGAUAAAGAGUCUUCUCUUGCUGAGAAAUUGGCAGAGCUGUGAAGUUCUGAGUGUGACCAGAAAAGGAACUUACCACUGCAUGAAUACCGAGAGAGAAAGAAACUACACAUUUCUGAGGGUUGAGUGGGGGCUCCCACACACCUAAAACACCUGGAGAAAACAGGCAAUGAGGACUACUACAGCUCUACUCAGACACUUCUUUCAACCCAACCUCUGGGUGCACACGUUAAGGGCCUUCGACUCAGCAGGUGGAAACCCAAGACCUAGAGAGUCCCAAGAGAACAUGUCCAGCUGGUGGCCAAGGGGAUGGUGAGCCCCUGUCGGCUGUGCAUUGCCUGGUGCCCUUACAGUUUGCACGCUGUCCCGCCUGGCCAGGAUCGCAAGCUACAUCGUAGGUUACUCAUGGAUUAUGUACAUAUUGACUAAUAAGAAAAUAAAUAGCACGUCUGAGAAAAAUACAUCACGCGGAGAAAGUAGGAUGAAGUCAUUACAACCAUUAAUGGCCAAGAGACUGGAGGAAGCAAACAUCACCUGGUCAGGUGAAGGUUUUAUAAGAAGGCUCACGUUUCAAAUGCCUUCCUCCAGUAGGAAAUAAACAUUAAUAAUAAGGACUGAGAACAUUUCUGUGUAUUGUAGAAAAGCAGAGUAUAUAGAUAACCACACAUACCUCACAGUCUUGGAAAAUUAUGCAUUAUUUAGAAAAGGGAUUAAAAAUAUCUCCAACUUGCAAGUGUUCAACCUCUCACCCCUUGGGAUUGCACAGGGAGGGGAGGGUGCUGCUGUCCUUUUCCACUGCUUCAUGGUUUCUGAGGAACAGACCCAAGGCAUUAGUCAGCAAUUUCUGAAUUUUGACCCACAAUAGGAAAGAUACCUCGAGACAGGAAAAAUAGAUGGAGGCAAUUACAAACAGCUACUUGAUUGAUGGUUGACAUUGUCGGGGCUCCAGUGUAUGGCAGAUUGUGAUGGUGUUGAACUCCCCUUGCUACCAGUGGAUGUUGCUAUUGGCAACCGUGCAGUGAAGCCAAUAAAAAGGCAAGAAAAUGAGACGAAAGCUCAACCUUAGUGGAAGCCGUAGGGUUUGUGCUAUAAAUUAUGUUCCCCUUAGCAACAUGUAGCAUCAACACUCAGGGCGGCUUCGGGACCCGCAGCUGCCUGCAGCCUCCGUCGGACCCUGGGUCUAGUUUUAUCAUAAAGCACAGGCUUUAAAAUUUUGCUCUAGAUAGACUGGCAUCCGUCUGUUGGGACUAUUUAUUUAUUGUUGGGAAGGAUAACAGAUGUGGGUUCGUCUCUGCCUCAUACGGACUGAUUUCCAAUUCCCGUUUGUGAUAUAAACACGAUGUGGCACACUAGCCAGAAACACCUGCCAUGCUUCUGAGCUGCAGACGCCGACCAGGGUCUGUCCCCAACUCCACCCCUGCUUUGUUCCUUACCUGAAGGAGAAGAGACAGCGUGGCAGAAGCUAUUUUCCUUUAUAGCAGAGUGAUUCAGAAAACUGGCUUAAUAAAAUCCAUAAAUCUCCACAACCUCCUCUUACUGCUCUGAGGAGGCAAUUUGCCGGGCACUCUCUCUCCCCCAGCUUCCCCAGCCUUCCCCGCAGAGUCAGCUGUGAAGGCGAGCUAGGGACCUUAUCGUUUGGGCUCCCACUCCCUCCUCCUCUCCUUGGCCAAACCCCCCUCUAGUGGCCCUUUUCUAAGCAUUUGAUGACAGGAUUGUGCAUCCUCAUUUUGGGGGGUUAGAAGCGCCAUUUUUCUUUGUUUGGAUUGACGUUCACUUUGCCUUUGGCAGUCCUCUUACCAGCUGCCUCAGCAUCUUUUCUUUUUUUGGUGUCUUGCUAAUCGGCCUCGUCUUCCUCGUUUCUCCCCCUCUUUGCCGGGCUUAUAAUUUUCUGUUACUUUAUUUCUUGCCAUAAAGAAUCCUGUAUCUUCCCUCCUGAUACCCGCUCUUCCCUCACUCCCAUUUUGGUACCUUCGUUUACCCAUUCUUUAAACAUUUCUGGAAUGUCUGCUGUGUGCCUCCGGGGAAACAGUGCUCUUUGUGGAAUGUGGCCCCUAUUUCUUUAAUAUUUGAGUAGUCAAGUUAAUAACUGAUAUUGACCAGUAAACAACAAGAACAAAAAUGGUGCACUUAGGAUUUUUCAGAGCUGGAAUGGACUUCAAGUUUCAUCUAGUCCAGGGAUCUUCCAACUCCUCAGACCUCCAUGUAUGUAAUCAAAGAAAGGAGAAUUUACAGGGGUUUCUGGAUCCCCCACACUGGCUUCAAACAGAGAAUUUCAGUUUUUAGGUGUUUUAUAUCUUGGACAUUCCUGAUAAGAUUUUUUUGCACAAAGAGUCCUAAGGUUAAAAUAUGUUUGAAAAUCUUUUCCUAAUGCAAUCUCAUUCGACAAACGAGGAAACAGGCUGGGAGAAUUUAGGUGAUUUGUCCACAGUCACCUGAUCAGUGAUGCCAAAGCCAGGGUAGGAAGUCUAGCUUCUAGUCCAGUGUUCUUUGGAUGAGUCAAGCCAUGUCCUCAAUCUCUCAGGUAAAAUGGGGAGCAAAGUAGUUUUGUAGUCAUUGCAUUGAUUUAAUCUCGUUUAUUCUUAUUAUAAGCCUAGCAUCCUAGAAAGUUUUGUCCUCUGGCCAGACUCUUAUUUCUUAACUUUUCAAGCAUUAUUUCUUUUUUUUUUUAGAUUUUAUUUAUUUAUUCAAAAGAGACAGAGACAGCCAGCGAGAGAGGG